UACGUUAGAAGCCUAGGGUUCCUCACUCCUCAUAUCACCCAUCGCCUCUCAUCUUACCUCUACUUUGCUACCCACUGCCCACUCCGAUCGGCAUUCUCCGAUGACCAAGGGACCGGCGGUUAUUUCUAUCUGAUGAUCGACUACUCAAUGGCCACUCAAUAUGUGAACUCAAUGGCAACUCAGUGCACAAGGCUCCCGCCACUGGGGAUUUAGAGAUGGUGAGAUGUACGAUACCUUACUUACACAUGCGAAGAGGCUGUUUCCCGUAUCGAACCCAUGAUCUUUGGGUCAAAAUAAUGCAACUUUACUGUUGCGCUAAUGUCCACUCUCAGAUGAUGCAUUGGAGAAUUAUGAAGACAUUGCAAAAGACAUUCCUUACCAUCAUGUUCCCCCGAAGGCUACUUACAAGAUGCAAGGGGAUGAUUGGAUGAAGCUCGGCACAUCCAAUCAUGAAUCAUGAAAGGCUGAUGUAUCUCCAUAGUGCUGCUGAUUCCUGGCUGAAACAGCUCAGUGUCCAGCACCAUGACUUCAACUAUUUUACUUCGCACUCUACCAUGGAGAUUGGUAUGUCUUUGUAAAUUCUUACAUCCUUUGGGUCUGUCCGCUGCUCUGGCGACUGCCAUUCGAAGAUUCUCCAGCUGCAGUAAUGAAUGCAUUUAGAAACCGAGAGCUGCAUUUUUUUGAUAGCCAUGGACAUUUAGUUUCAAGGUAACAGUUCAAUCCAUAGAGUUCUUUUUCCCUUUUCGUUGAAGAGGGAGGAGUAGUUUAAGACUGCCAUUCAAAGAUUUUCCCACUGCAGUAAUGAAACAUGUUUAGAAACUGAGAGCUGCGUUUUUUUUAUAGCCAUGGACAUGUAGUUACAAAGUAACAGUUCAAUCCAUAGAGGUCUUCUUCCUUUUUCCAUGGAGAGGGAGGAGUAGUUAAAAGACUGUCGUUCAAAGACUCUCCCACUGCGUUUUUUUUUGAUAGCCAUGGAUAUGUAGUUACAAAGUAACAGUUCAAUCCAUAGAGUUCUUUUUCCCUUUUUGUUGGAGAGGGAGUAUUAGUUUAGGAAGAAGAGGAAACUUGAAAUUUUGGUGGUGUUUGUGCAUGAACUCUAGCUUGUAUUACUUCUAUACAUCUUUUAUAAUUCAUUUUCCGUCA